AUUGAACGCUGGCGGCAGGCUUAACAAAUGCAAGUCGAAAGAGUGGCGGACGGGUGAGUAAUGCUUGGGGAUCUAGCUUAUGGAGGGGGAUAACUACGGGAAACUGUAGCUAAUAACGCUUACCAUAGGAUGAGCCCAAGUGGGAUUAUGUAGUUGGUGAGGUAAAGGCUCACAAAGCCGACGAUCUCUAGCUGGUCUGAGAGGAUGACCAGCCACACUGGGACUUAGACACGGCCCGUACUCCUACGGUAGGCAGCAGUGGGGAAUAUUGCGCAAUGGGGGAAACCUGACUCAGCCAUGCCGCGUGAAUGAAGAAGGCCUUCGGGUCGUAAAGUUCUUUCGGUAGAGAGGCGUUAACUACAGAAGAAGCACCGGCUAACUCCGUGCCAGCAGCCGCGGUAAUAC
rnacentral:rRNA from 1 species